rnacentral:rRNA from 1 species
AAAAAAGGUAAGCUACUAAGAGCGAAUGGUGGAUGCCUUGACUGGUAAAGGCGAUGAAGGACGUACUAGACUGCGAUAAGCUACGGGGAGCUGUCAAGAAGCUUUGAUCCGUAGAUUUCCGAAUGGGGCAACCCAAUGUAUAGAGAUAUACAUUACCUAUAUAGGAGCGAACGAGGGGAAUUGAAACAUCUUAGUACCCUCAGGAAAAGAAAUCAAUAGAGAUUGCGUCAGUAGCGGCGAGCGAAAGCGCAAGAGGGCAAACCCAGUGCUUGCACUGGGGGUUGUAGGACUGCAAUGUGCAAGAGGUGAGUUUAGCAGAACAUUCUGGAAAGUAUAGCCAUAGAGGGUGAUAGUCCCGUAUGCGAAAAACAAACCUUAGCUAGCAGUAUCCUGAGUAGGGCGGGACACGAGAAAUCCUGUCUGAAGCUGGGUCGACCACGAUCCAACCCUAAAUACUAAUACCAGAUCGAUAGUGCACAAGUACCGUGAGGGAAAGGUGAAAAGAACUGAGGUGAUCAGAGUGAAAUAGAACCUGAAACCAUUUGCUUACAAUCAUUCAGAGCCCUAUGUAGCAAUACAGGGUGAUGGACUGCCUUUUGCAUAAUGAGCCUGCGAGUUGUGGUGUCUGGCAAGGUUAAGCAAACGCGAAGCCGUAGCGAAAGCGAGUCUGAAUAGGGCGCUUAGUCAGAUGCUGCAGACCCGAAACGAAGUGAUCUAUCCAUGAGCAAGUUGAAGCUAGUGUAAGAACUAGUGGAGGACUGAACCCAUAGGCGUUGAAAAGCCCCGGGAUGACUUGUGGAUAGGGGUGAAAGGCCAAUCAAACUUCGUGAUAGCUGGUUCUCUCCGAAAUAUAUUUAGGUAUAGCGUUGUGUCGUAAUAUAAGGGGGUAGAGCACUGAAUGGGCUAGGGCAUACACCAAUGUACCAAACCCUAUCAAACUCCGAAUACCUUAUAUGUAAUCACAGCAGUCAGGCGGCGAGUGAUAAAAUCCGUCGUCAAGAGGGAAACAACCCAGACUACCAGCUAAGGUCCCUAAAUCUUACUUAAGUGGAAAACGAUGUGAAGUUACUUAAACAACCAGGAGGUUGGCUUAGAAGCAGCCAUCCUUUAAAGAAAGCGUAAUAGCUCACUGGUCUAGUGAUUUUGCGCGGAAAAUAUAACGGGGCUAAAGUAAGUACCGAAGCUGUAGACUUGCGCACAACUUAGAUUAUUUAAGUUUAGAAUAUGAGAAACUAAGUUAUAUUUUUACUGAUUUUUAUAGAGUAAAGAUAGAAAUAAAACUUAGUAAAAUCAGUAAAAAUAUUCUUAGACUAAAGUUAAGUAGUUUAAGUUGUGUGCAAGUGGUAGGAGAGCGUUCUAUUUGCGUCGAAGGUAUACCGGUAAGGAGUGCUGGAGCGAAUAGAAGUGAGCAUGCAGGCAUGAGUAGCGAUAAUUAAUGUGAGAAUCAUUAACGCCGUAAACCCAAGGUUUCCUACGCGAUGCUCGUCAUCGUAGGGUUAGUCGGGUCCUAAGUCGAGUCCGAAAGGGGUAGACGAUGGCAAAUUGGUUAAUAUUCCAAUACCAACAUUAGUGUGCGAUGGAAGGACGCUUAGGGCUAAGGGGGCUAGCGG